CCUCUUAAAAACGGUGCUACCUCGUUUCAGUUCCUUGAUUUGAAAUGACAGAAUGGAUCAAGAAUGGAACCAGUGGCCCAGGAGAGAAAAGGUGUUCAACUGUGAUCUCCAUUCCGGCUGUCAACGUUUUAGAAAGCUGAACUUCAAUGAUCUAAACCUUGUCAACAGUCUCUCCUCUCCAAAAGACAACACUGCUUUUGGCACGAGGGGAUCAAAGAGAGACACAUUUUCUGCAAUCAGUCUAGUGAUCUGGAAGAGGAAAUUAGCACUUGGCAGCUUCAGAAGACUGAGAUAAAGGAAUUGGAAGAAAAGGUGGAAUGGGGCUUCCUUCGUGACUCGAAGGUACAGGAUACAUGGCACAAGAGAAAUAAAAGAGGGCGGAACCGAAGGAAGAUUAAUUGAGCCGGAAAAAAAUAGGAAAUGAAGAAAGAAAAGCCACGAAGUAAAGACCUCCAAAAUGCUGAUGCUGGAAACUGUGGGACAAACGUGGACCACACACACAGUGAGGAGGUGUGGCGAGGAGCAAGAACGAGAGGCUGACGUCAUGCCUGCAUCAGU